rnacentral:rRNA from 1 species
GUACCCCAAACCGACACAGGUGGUCGGGUAGAGAAUACCAAGGCGCUUGAGAGAACUCGGGUGAAGGAACUAGGCAAAAUGGUACCGUAACUUCGGGAGAAGGUACGCUCUUGAUGGUGAAGUCCCUUGCGGAUGGAGCUGACGAGAGUCGCAGAUACCAGGUGGCUGCAACUGUUUAUUAAAAACACAGCACUGUGCAAAAUCGUAAGAUGACGUAUACGGUGUGACGCCUGCCCGGUGCCGGAAGGUUAAUU